UUGACCUCGGAUCAGGUAGGGAUACCCGCUGAACUUAAGCAUAUCAAUAAGCGGAGGAAAAGAAACCAACAGGGAUUGCCUCAGUAACGGCGAGUGAAGCGGCAAGAGCUCAAAUUUGAAAGCUGGCUCCUUCGGGGUCCGCAUUGUAAUUUGCAGAGGAUGCUUCGGGAGCGGCCCCCAUCUAAGUGCCCUGGAACGGGCCGUCAUAGAGGGUGAAAAUCCCGUCUGGGAUGGGGUGUCCGCGCCCGUGUGAAGCUCCUUCGACGAGUCGAGUUGUUUGGGAAUGCAGCUCUAAAUGGGUGGUAAAUUUCAUCUAAAGCUAAAUAUUGGCCGGAGACCGAUAGCGCACAAGUAGAGUGAUCGAAAGAUGAAAAGCACUUUGAAAAGAGAGUUAAACAGCACGUGAAAUUGUUGAAAGGGAAGCGCUUGCGACCAGACUCGCCCACGGGGUUCAGCCGGCAUUCGUGCCGGUGUACUUCCCCGCGGGCGGGCCAGCGUCGGUUUGGGCGGCCGGUCAAAGGCCCUCGGAAUGUAACGCCCCCCGGGGCGUCUUAUAGCCGAGGGUGCCAUGCGGCCAGCCCAGACCGAGGAACGCGCUUCGGCUCGGACGCUGGCAUAAUGGUCGUAAGCGACC
rnacentral:rRNA from 1 species